GCCUGGCACUGCCCACUCACCUGCUCCACCAUCCUGCCAUGGUCCCGCUCUCAUCGGGGCCCAUAGGGGCUGGUAGCACCUCCACUGCUGCCUGGCACCUCCUG